UGGAUGGUUUAAAUGAGCUCAACAGGGGACCUAGAGGUAAAGGUUCCAAGAAUCAAAAGGGUUUUACACCAGUCACCUUGGCAGUCAAGGGCCAGAACAUUCCGCUCACUGUUACCAAUGAUGCCGAGAAAGAUAAACCGAGCCUGAUUCCUGACAGAGAACAAUACAACUGUCCGGAUUUUCCAGUGGCAUAUUCUGAUGCCAAGUUUUUUAUAAUCAAGUCUUACAGUGAGGAUGAUGUGCACAAAAGCAUUAAAUAUAAUGUUUGGGCUAGCACACCAAAUGGUAACAAGAAGCUUGAUUCUGCUUACCAGGAGGCUCAACAAAAGUCUGGGGGUUGCCCAGUUUUUCUUUUAUUCUCGGUGAGCUUUCUUAAGAUACAUUAUUCUCUAGUCUUUUUUGAUUUUGAGUCACAUUCUCCUUGUUUUGGUUGCUUAACUUUGGUUUUCUUGUCCAGGUAAAUACAAGUGGUCAGUUUGUUGGUGUUGCAGAGAUGGUAGGACCAGUUGAUUUCAACAAGAGUGUGGAGUAUUGGCAGCAAGACAAAUGGAUCGGCUGUUUUCCUGUCAAGUGGCACAUUGUGAAGGAUGUACCAAACAGCUUGUUGAAACACAUCACGCUGGAGAACAACGAGAACAAGCCUGUUACCAAUAGUAGAGAUACGCAGGAGGUAAGCCCCAUGCUUUAAUAAUUAUGAGCAAGAUAGAAGGGUAGUGAUUUUUGCGCGAUCCCUUGUAAUCUGUCAUGGCUCGUUUGACCUUCAUAUAAUUGUCAGUUACUGUUUUUAUCAACUGUUUCACCUAUUCCAAAAGAAGAGGGGUGUUACAACAGUUUCAUUGUUUUGUACAGGUUAAAAUGGAGCAGGGCCUACAGGUGAUUAAGAUAUUUAAGGAUCAUAUUAGCAAACAGUGCAUUCUUGAUGAUUUUGAGUUCUAUGAGGAUCGUCAGAAGAGAAUUCAGGAAAAGAAGGCCAAGCAGCAGCUAUUCCAGAAGCAGGUAGCUUAUAAUGUACUAAAUUUCUGCCUAUUAAAUGAAAUUUAAAAAAAAAAAAAGAGGAACAAGAUGAGGUGCUUUCACUACUGUAUUUAGCAGUAGUCGAUGUCUUCACCAUAAUAAUCUUCGAUUUGGUAGUUAAUUGUGGUUCUUUUCUUUGGUUGUCUCAGUCGCAAGCAUGGGAAGGCAAAACUACUGGAGAGAAGAAGAAAGAAAAUACAAAGUUGGAACCGAAGUCCCAGAAACCUUCAGAAGUUCCUGCUGGUUUGAACAAGGAAAGUUUACCCGCUGCUCCGACUAAUGGGGAGGUCAAGCUUACAGAAAAUGGAUCAGUUACAAAGGGAGAUGAUGUGAAGGGUGCUAAACCAGUCACUGUAGCAGAAAAGAAACCUGUAGCUAAAGGGAUAGCAAAUGGAGUUGCUAAUGGAUGCUAGCUUCACCUAAUGAAGGGGGAGGUCUGUGGUUGAAGCGGCCCUAAAUUGGAGCUUGUUGACUACAUGAUUUGCACACGAGUGCUUGGUUAGAUCUCAUAACCAUUGGACUGCCCCGUUUGUCCUAGCUGCAUUUGGAGUUGGUUCUUGCAUUAAGAAAUCCCCCGAGAUAAAUCAAUAGUGGCAAGGCUAGUUCAAUAUGUUUCUGAGUUCAGGAAGUAUGGAAGCUCCAUUUUCCCUCAGGUUUUAGCUUCUGACAGGUUUCAUACCUAAGGGAUUUGGGUUAGGAUAAUUUUUUUUUAAAAUUUUGUUUUUGUCUUGUGGCUUAUUUUGGUCAAUUUUCCCUUUUUAAAAAAGUUAUUUGGGGUUUAAAGGGUGGGGUUCUUGUUAUUAUUAGUUUGGCUCCCAAUCCUAUCUUGUAAAUCCAGAUCAAUCUGUUAUGGCAGUUCAACAUUGCUUUUUUGUACUAAUGAAAGAGCUAGAAGCGAGGUGGGAAUGCAUUGCAAUAUAGUUGAUUCAAGAAACAUUUGGCAGCGAUUUUCCCCAAUUUCAUGUUUAGUGUAAUUCAGAGCGACUCAUUCGUUGCUGUUGCUCUCAUCUAAAUUCGCAUUGUCCAAUUAUCAGCUGUGGAUAGUUGUCUUUCUUCCUUAAAAUUGAAGUAAUAUCUGGACAUAAGAAAUAAAUGAAAAGGUCCAAAUUUUAAUUGUACUACCGUGAUUACUCAACUUCUUUCUUCGUAGAGUUAAUUCAUACUCUUGCAUUAGUUUUUGUAUUUGUACUUGUAGAGGUGGUUCGGGCAUGUGCGGAGGAGAAGUCUUGCUGCCUCGGUGAGGAGUUGUGAGCGGCUGGCGAUGGUCGGUGUACGGCGAGGUAGAGGGAGGCCUAAGAGGUAUUGGGGAGAGGUGAUUAGGCAUGACAUGGCUNNNNNNNNNNNNNNNNNNNNNNNNNNNNNNNNNNNNNNNNNNNNNNNNNNNNNNNNNNNNNNNNNNNNNNNNNNNNNNNNNNNNNNNNNNNNNNNCACGACGCUCUUCCGAUCUAUAGGAAAGUCUGGAGGUCUAAUAUCAGGGUUGUAGGAUAGAGGCUCCUAGAGUUUUUCGUACUUCUCACCUGGGGUUGGGUGAGGCUUGGCAGGGUUACCCAUAGAUGAUUUGUGUAUUGGAUUGUGUUUCCCUUAUGGUAGUUAUUUAUGGUAGCUACUGUCUGAUAUUAUUGCAUGCUAUUUUAUGUAUGGUUCUUAUGUUUAGAUAAUUAUUUACGCUAUUUCUGCUGGAGUUACUAAUGCUCUUUUGUUUUUAUNNNNNNAUUUUAUGUAUGGUUCUUAUGUUUAGAUAAUUAUUUACGCUAUUUUUGCUGGAGUUACUAAUGCUCUUUUGUUUUUGUUUUUAUUUUUCCUUUCCUUCAUUGAGCCGAUGGUCGAUUGGAAACAGCCUCUCUGCCCUUUCUGGUAGGGAUAAGGCCCGUCUACAUAUUAUCCUCCCCAGACCCCACUUUGUGGGACUAUAAUGGGUAGUUGUUGUUGUUGUUAGUUUCAACAGGAAAAAGGUGAACUUUACAAGUCAAAUUUCAAUAUAAAAUUAUUUCAGGUUGGAGCUUUAUUAGGAGUCGAAGGUAAAUAUGAAUAUUUUUUCUUAACGAUGGAUUAAGUUAUUCAUGUCCCGUAGUAAAUUUGGACAACAGAUUGGGGACGAAAGGAUGCAUUGACACUGUUGUGUGGACACCAGACUCUAGACGACAGCCAAAAAGGGAUUUUCAGGUCUUCUUCUAUUAGAAACUUUAAUUCCUUCGAUAAUGAAUUCUUGAAAUAUGUAUGAAUAUCAUGAAUUAUGCAUAAUUAUUUGGGUUAAGACAUCAAGAAGGCUUAAACUAAUCUUUUCAAUGUGCUUCAAGUCCAAAGCUCUGUCGAAGAUCGUUUAGUUCACAGAUUAACUAUAUAGGAAUUGUUAAUGCGAUGAAUAUUAUAAGGCGAAAUACAAUAACUGUUCUGUAAAGAGUGUCCAGUUUAAGGUAUUCUUUUGUUUUUUAGAUAAUCUUAGUUGUUGAACGACAAUAUUUACAAAGAACAAGAAGGAGAGCAAAAACAAUUUAUCGAAUAUAAUAUUGUGUCGUGAUAAGCUACUGACUAGGGUGCAAAGCCGAGAUCGAGUGGCUGCACGUUUGGAGUUUACAAAAAUAUAAUUGCCCAGAAAUUUAUUCACAAGAACAAGAAACAUAACAAAAAGGAUUGACCAUUUUGCGUUUGUAUCUCUUAUAUAUAUAUAUAUAUNNNNNNNNNNNNNNNNNNNNNNNNNNNNNNNNNNNNNNNNNNNNNNNNNNNNNNNNNNNNNNNNNNNNNNNNNNNNNNNNNNNNNNNNNNNNNNNNNNNNNNNNNNNNNNNNNNNNNNNNNNNNNNNNNNNNNNNNNNNNNNNNNNNNNNNNNNNNNNNNNNNNNNNNNNNNNNNNNNNNNNNNNNNNNNNNNNNNNNNNNNNNNNNNNNNNNNNNNNNNNNNNNNNNNNNNNNNNNNNNNNNNNNNNNNNNNNNNNNNNNNNNNNNNNNNNNNNNNNNNNNNNNNNNNNNNNNNNNNNNNNNNNNNNNNNNNNNNNNNNNNNNNNNNNNNNNNNNNNNNNNNNNNNNNNNNNNNNNNNNNNNNNNNNNNNNNNNNNNNNNNNNNNNNNNNNNNNNNNNNNNNNNNNNNNNNNNNNNNNNNNNNNNNNNNNNNNNNNNNNNNNNNNNNNNNNNNNNNNNNNNNNNNNNNNNNNNNNNNNNNNNNNNNNNNNNNNNNNNNNNNNNNNNNNNUAUAUAUAUAUAUAUAUAUAUAUAUAUAUAUGGCCGAUUAAUUCUCAUAAACAGCCAACAGUGGGGGGAUAUUCUCGUAAGUAUGUAUUUGAAUAAUUUUCUGAUAGGCUGAAAAUAUUAAAAAUAAUUUCAUAAAAUUAGAUUUGGAUUAAGCCUCACGUGUAUCUCGUGUGCAUGGUAGGAAAAUCUAUAAGUUUUGCCUUCGAACCUAUUUCUAACGUGCACGAGCAACUCUGUUUUACUAGCUCUUUUCAAACCUAAUAGAAGACACUCAUUAUAAGGGGGCAUUUGCAUCUAUCCAAUUUUGAGAUCCCCAUUGAAGUUAUACCCAUUUUGCACAAAAAUUACAAGUCUACUUAUUUUUGGAUCAACUUCAAACUUCGAGUCUGAAGUUGAAGAACAAAACAAAUUUGGUUUGAAGUUCAGUGCACUUUAGUUGCACUUCAGACCAAUUAAGUCUAAAGUGAAAACAUUACACUUAAGGCCAAAUAGGUUUGAAGUGAAACCAAUGUUUUCAUGCACUUAUUUGGCCCUUAAGUGCAAAUUGCCUAAUAACAUAAAGUUGUUAUUCAAAUUUUAACAAUCCAACACAUAAUUCAAUACCUAAAUCAACUCCAAAUGAGCUCAAAUUUGAAAUAUAACAUCCAAGUAUCAUAAAUGACAAACUACAAUCAUCAAUUUAUUAUAUAACAAAAAAUCUAACAAACUUAUUUUGCAAUUAAGAAGAAUAAGAAUAAGAAAAAACCCUAAGCAGUAGUAGAGAAAAGAGCACCAUUGUAACUGUGAGCACGUGAUUUUUGCCCUACAUGAAUUACUCCCAGAAAUUCAAACAAAAUGAUUUUGUUCAUUAUUUUAAAUUUUGUGAAUUUUUAUGGCAUUUUAUGAUAAUUGUUUAUAUUUUGUCCGUGCAUUUUAAUUCAUAUAAAAUACAAAAAAUAUGCAUUGCAUUUAGGGUUUAAUUUUGGCGAAAUGGCUUCCUGGCCACUUAAACUUGUCGGGUUUUUUAAAGCCGAUAUAUAAACUUAUAACUUUCUCAUUUGAACAUUCGAACUCGUUUUUUUCAUAACUAAUAAAUACAUUUGAUCAUUGACCAAGGCCAUGUGGCGUCGGUUGGUCCUAAUCAGUAGUUCACGUGAGAAACACGAUGCACAGGAGCGUGAAACCCCCUUCCCAAUGCCUAACAGUACAAAAUAUCCCCUUCCUCCAUUUUUAAAAAUCUGAAGCUCCAUUUUCAAUUUUUUUUUUAUUUUUCAGAUCGUGAAAAUAUUGGAAAGUUGUAUAUUUUGUCAUUGUAGAGUUGAAGCUAAGUUUUGAACUUCCCCUUCCAAGUUCGUUGAACUCCUUGAACCCAAUAAUGGCAUGAAAAAUUUAGGACCGGCUCCUGUGCGUAUAAUAGGAUUGGAAACAACAGGAGGAGUUUCAAGUUUACGAAGGAGAGAGAGCAAGAACAAAAGACAACAAGUUGUUGGGCACAUUUGAGUUCUCUGGUAUACACCCUAUUCCUAGAGGCGUACCUCAAAUAACUGUUUUCUUUAAUGUCGAUGCCAAUGGAAUAUUGAAUGUCUCUGCUGAGGACAACACUACAGGUCAGAACGAAAAGAUUACAGUUACGAAUGAUAAAGCUCGGCUUUCGCAGGAAGAGAUUGAGAAUAUGGCCAAUGAUGAAAAGAAGUACAAGGCAGAUGAUGACGAACACAGGAAAAGAGCCAAAGCUGAAAAAGCAUUGCAGGGGUAAACCUCCUUCAUACCCUUCUGGAUAUUGGGCGAGGAGAAUAUUGUCGAGCAGCUUAGCGCAGAAAGACAAGAAAAAGGUUAAGGAUGUUCUUGAACAGUCAAAGAGAAAGAGUUGCUCCUUGAAUUUUUGUGCCCUUACGUGUAAGACAUACAUUGGUCAUUUGCUGAUUGGAUGGACACGUAUGUGUAUGUGUAAUACACUCGCACUAGGUCAAUGGUCAAAUGCGUUUAUUAGUUAUGGAGAAACGAGUUCGAGUGUUCAAAUGAGAAGAUUAUAAGUUUAUGUAUCAGCUUUAAAAAACCCGACAAGUUUAAGUGGCCAGGAAGCCAUUUCACCUUUAAUUUUACAUAUUUUGAAAUUAAUUAGUAAUUAGGAAUCUUACAAAAUAUAAGAGAAAAUAUAAAAAAAUAGUUUGUCUUGGCAUUAUUUAAUUUGUAGCUUUGAAUUUCGCUGGUUUUCAUUUAAUAUGAUGUUUGAUUAGUUUGGGAUAAUUGGUAGGGAUAAUUAAUUUUAUUUUUAGAAUUAAUUUAGGGUUUUUCUAGUUUAAUUUGGAAAAGAAAAAGGAAAAGAAAUUAAAAAUAAAAGGGCUUUCUUAAUAAAAGACCCAAAAUUGGGCUUUUUUUAAUUAAAUAUUCCUAAGCCAAACAAGUCCGCGCCAGUCCCAGCCCAAUUGACUUACUCGGUCCACCCUUUUCAAUUCAAAACGACGAUGUUUCCCCGAGCAUUUAUCACAACCCUUGAUUUUUCCUCAUCCAACGGGUGAGAAUUAACGAGGUUCUCAAUAUAAAAUGGCCGGACCAUGCCCCCCCCCAAUCCAUCCUCUCCCACAACUCCCAUUAACCCUAGAGACCUCCUAUCCGUCAGUCGCCGCCGAAAAUCGCCUCACGGCGGCUGGUCUCCAAAUCACCCCAAAUUAACACCAUUGAAUCACCCUCCCCUCCUCUUUCCAAUGCCUCAAAUACUUUCUUUCAAUUCCAAGCCCAACUCGUCGAACUUUCCAAACAGUAUCGUCGCCUCCGCCACCCACGGCGGUGACAUCACCCAAACACGUCCAGAAUUUCACCCUGAAAUCCCCUCACCAUCCUGUUUCUAAAUCUUUGUACCUUUUCCCUCAAAUCACAGCCAAUCCCUUCGAAUCUUGCUUUGAAGAUCCGGCCAAAACACCACCACCUCCAAACUCCGCCAUAUUAACACCACAUGAUAUCCUUACACCCCUCAUCCCAAAUCCACAACCCUUAACCCUAGAAUCAUCCUCGUUUGGUUUGAAUUUCAGAUCGAAAUUUUGGCCGAAAACCCUAACUUCUUAAUGUUUGGGGAUAAAUGGUUUUCUGGCUAUAAUAGCUCUUAAUUAGGCAUUUUCUCACGGAAACACCUAAUUAGGGAUGAUUACAUUCUGAAUUUGUUGAGAAAGGGCCACUGAAUUCGAAUUUGAGGUAUUUUUAUUUAUUUUUUGUUUUGUUUGUUUCUUCUCUUUCCCGUGUUCUUUGAUUUGUGAUUAUUAUUCUCCUAGUUUCAUUUUGGUAAUUAGGAUGUUUAAUUUCAGUAUACUUGUCAUUGAUUUUCUUUAGGGUUAGUUCUAAUUCAUGAUUCAGUAAGCUUUCUUCCUAGUUUGACUGUUUCUUUGUUAUGCUUAAUUCCAUUAUCAUGAGUUUUCAAUUUUCUUUUAGUUCAAUCUUUAUUGUUAUUCAUGACUAAUUCUGUUCUGGUGAUGUUUUUGAUUGUUUUUAUUCUGUUUAAUUUUGUUUUCUGAUCCUUGAUGUUAGUUUAAUAGUGUGUUUUGAUUUAGUUAGUAAUUUCUUAUUAUUGCCUUUAAUUAGAUUUUAUUAGUCUAGUUACUUGGAUAUAGCUAAAUUAGAGUGGUUAGUUUAACUAUAGUCAAAGGCUUACUAGGGUUAGUAGACUAAGGUUAAGGGGAUGGGUUAGUUGAUAGUGAUUUGGUAAUUUCAGAUUAAAUUCAGGGGUAUUAUAGGCUUUUCGACAAAGGGAAUCUGUAAUAACAGGGAAUAGAAUUCCCUAGAAGGUUGUUGAUAGGGUUCAAAAUAGACUUUUAGAAGGUUAAUGGCUAUAAUUGAGUAACAAGUCAGAAAAUGAAGGACUAAACAGUUAAAGUCUGAAAAUGAAAUAGGGGGCAAGGGGGUAAAAGAAAAUCUGAAAAUUUCCCUGAUCUUUGCCUAUAAAAGGAAGUCCCUAUUGCCUCAAUUGCCAAGUUUUAAGAUAUGAAAAUUCUCCCCCAAAAAAGUGUCCUAGAAGUCUUUACAGAUCUAAAAUUUGAAAUUCAAAAUUCUCUCAAAUCCUAGAGAGGGAAAAAUGUGAAGAAGUUCAAAUAAAAAACUACUGAAAACUCCAAAAAUUGUGUAGGAAUAGAUAGUCUAGAUACAAAUCAUUGUAAAAGCUUCUCCAGUCUAUUUUGUUCAACUCUAUUGGUUUUCAAGCUAAUUUUCAAAUCCAGCUGGUAUAUUUGAUUGUUCGAAGCUCUUUUGAAAGUCAAUUGCAUCUUAUUCUUCUUGUUUGGAUUUCUAAUUGUUUUUGUGAGCUGUGUUGUUGUUGAUAUCGCUGCUGAUCCUUGCUUACUGUUGCUGAUCCCUCUCUUUUCUUACACUUUAUUCUACUUCCAUGUACACGCUUUGAGACUGAUCUGAUGUAAUUUCUCCAAUUGAAAUUGAAAUGCAAUUGAUGCCUGAUAUCCGUUGUAGAUUUUACUGCUUUGAUAGUCUAUUAUACUGUGUGUAGUUCUAGGAUUUGGUUGGUGUAUUCAUUGCCAUUAAUCUAUUUGUAAUGGAUUAUUUGGACCGUUAAACUAGUGAUUAUUCAUUAGCCUUAGUAUAAUUUUGUUUUGUUUUUGUGUAGUUUAACCUUGAAAAUUAGAAGAAUAGCUGGAACAGGAAACUGAUUUUGAGAUAUAUGAUCUUCAUUUGUAUUAACAACUGGAAAUUCAAACUAUCGUGAGUAGUUAGCAGAAAUAUCGGCUAUAGUGUUGGUAGACUCAGAUCUGAUAGUAAGUUACUGAUUGGAACUUGAUUUUAAAUGGAUUACAUGCUCCUACUAGUGUAAGAUCAAGCGUUCUUUGGUUUUCAAAUGCAUUAGAUAGUUUAGUUAUGGAUAUAAGUCACGCAUGAAAACCCAUGGGAUGUAUUGAUCAAAACUGAUGUGUGUAUGUGGCGUUUCUGAUUUCAAAUUCAAUACGUUUGGCUAAUUGUAUACCAAUGAGUUGAAUAUUCAUAUCAUGAUUGGAUUCAAGGUUAAAACUCAGGAUCGUUUAUUUGUUUGCAAAUCAUUAAGCCCACUUUGUAAAUUAAAAUCAUUAGUUUGAAACAAACAAAAAUCAGCAUUGGAUGUGGGCCAAAACCUAGUAGCCCUUCACUUGAAUGGGAUCUGGGCCUGAAUUUGUUUGCCCAAGGGCCCAAUGCAAGGCAGCUCCUCACAAAGCUGACAGUAUUUUCCCAUUCUGGGCUAAUCCUUAAGGCCCAAAGUGCUGAAGGUUUUUAUAAGGUUGUUGUUCAAAUUUAUAGUGCAAUUGUAGGCCUUCCAAGUUAGGUAACGAAUUUAAAUUAAGAGGUUCUUCCUCUUGCUUAAGUUCGGACUUGAACUUGAGGCCCGAUUUCCUAAUGCUAAUUAAUUAGGCCUUUUAGAGACAAUACUUAAUAGAGAAUCAUAGUUGUUUUAGGUUGGCCUUAAAAUAAUUUGAGGUUCGCCGGGCCAAAUAAAACUACAAAUAGUGUGACCCUCUUAAUUGUUUUUCUACAAAAAUAUUUAGACUUUGGGACGUGCCAUUUAGCGAAUUUCAUGGCCUUCCGCAAAGUUAAUAAUACGCUAGUUACAUUAGGCCCGACAUUUAAUAAUAUUACCUUCCUAAACUGGGUGCACAUUUAUGUGACCCAAAUCCAAAUUCCAACGAAGUUGAAAUGUGUCAAAAAUCACGGGUGCAUUUAUGUGACGUGGUUCGAGCGUGUUUUAACGAUAUUGCAAUUCUCUUUAAAAAAUAAUAAUAAAGGCGGUUUAAAGUCAAAAUCACAUAGAUUAAACAUGUAUUAAAAUCAGAUUAUAACCAUUUAUAACAGUUGUGCGACCGUGCUAGAACCACGGAACCCAGGAAUACCUAACACCUUCUCCCGGGUUAACAGAAUUCCUUACUCAAAUUUCUGGUUCGUGGAUUGUUAAUCAGAUUCAAUAAUUUCCUCGAUUCAAAAUUCAACUAGUGACUUGGGACACCAUUAAUAUCCCAAGUGGCGACUCUAAAUCUCUUAAUAAGUGAAUCCUGUUUCGAUUGUCCUUUAUUUGGAAAAACUCCUUUACGCCCUUCCGGGGGUAGGAAAAAAGGAGGUGUGACAACUCUGGCGACUUUGUUGGAGAUCGAACCCUGAAUCUCUGGUUCGGGGUUUAAGAAUUCGAGCUUACAAUAAUUUUUAUAUUUGGCUUUAUCUAAUUUUUCCUACAUGUUUCAUGCUAAAUGUGCUAAAUGCUUUACCACUUUGAUAUUAUCUGAAUUGUAUAUAAACUGACGAAACCCUUCUUUUCUCAUCUCCGGGCAUGUUCUUACUAGUUGAGACUCCCUAUUAUGCUAGUGUCAUACCCUGAAAUAAGAAAGAGGCCGAACAAGUUACAAAGCUGGAUGGCCUUUUGGUUCUCGGUAGGUAGCCCUCUCCUCGACUCGAGUUGUCCGCACGGGUACACAGUCUAGAACACAUACCUAGGUUUUGAACCUAGAAUAACUUGACUUCAUGUCGGAUCCCCAGUAGGAACGCUUAUUUGCAUCACGUGCAUAUGGCUUAGGGGUCUCAACACAGGGGUUGGGUCAGUCUAGGAUAGGUAACCUAAAAUGAAACGACCAUCAUGAUGCAUCUUACGUGUUGCAUGUACAUUUUUGUCUUGGACUCGCAUGCUGACCGGCAUUGAAUAUUUGAAAAAGAGAGAAAUAGCAGUGUAGAGAGUUAAUUACCUAUUUUAGAAAAACCAAUGCCCAAAUAGUGCUGAAACUCUACCGUAUUUUUGAGAAAAAUGAAAGGAAAAAGAAAAGUGUUUUUUGCUAAUGAAAAAGAAAAUAACUAAAAGAGUUUUAUUUUCAAAAUAGUUUGUUUUAUUUGCCAUUGAAAAAGAAAAUAUAAAAAAGAGUUUUAUUUUCAAAAAUAGUGUAUUUGCCAACAAAAAGAGUUUUGUUUUCGAAAAUAGUUAGUUUUAUUUGUCCAAGCUACGCCAGUUUGAUUCUCACAGGGUGUGGGAUACGUAAGCAACCCCCAUCGGGUCCAACUUCCCUCUUACAAAAUAGCCAAAAAUAACUAAAGUUUUAGUUUUCGUCACAAAUAAGUCGGAGUCUAUGCUUGUCUAAAAUAAACCGAAUGUCCCCAAAAAGACGCCGGAAGGCCGUUUUUGCAAGAACAACCACCUUGGAUCGUUUUCAACGGUUAGUGGGCACAACCUUAAAAUCUUCUCCUCGAGGUGCUAAAAGGUCUUAUCCGCAAAAUCGGUUGUCUGUUUUGAAUUAGAAAUUUGAAAAAAAAUAAUGUUAUUUUUCCCUUUUAGGUCAAAAUAAGUGACUAAAUCACCUUAAUAAUAUGAUGGAUGAGCACGAUUCAAAAUGAACCUUUCUCAAUCAUGAAUAAAAUUCCUCCGGAGUUGCGUCUAUGGUGGAACGAUUUAGGUAAGGAAGGACAAGACGAGGUCAAAAAAUAUUUGAAAGGGCUCACUGAUUUGUUGGAAAUUGUGCCUCGGGUAGGGGUGUACAAAGGAAACCAAUAAACCGUACCAACGCGAUAAUCCGGGUCAAACCGAGAAAAAAAACCUGACUAUGGUUUGGUUUGAUUUGGUUUGGUGUAGAAAAAAAACCCGACCAUAAUUAGUUUGGUUUGGUUUUAACUAAAGAAAGUCAAACAGAAACCAAACCAACCCGACAUUACAUAUAUUGAAAUUUUAGAUAUAUUAAUAUAUAAAUAUAAUUAUUGUGAUAUAAUUUGUAAAUAUUUCUUAAAAAUUCUAUAAUUGAAAUUUUAGAUAUAUUUAAUAUAUAAAUAUACAUAUUGUAAUGCAAUUCAUAAAUAUUUCUUUAAAAAAUUCAUAAUUUUAUCUUUUAAGGUAUUAUUUCAAGGUUGGACUUAGAACUUUUGCUCCAACAAGUUUUAUAGACAUUAAUACUAGUAAAUUAAUAAUGCUAACAAUCAAUACUAAUGCUAACAAAGACAUUCAAUUCAAUAUUACGAACAUGAAUGUAUUGAAUAUCUAUUUUUUGUUUUUCAAUAAUUUAGAUAAAAAAUGAACCUAUUUUUAUUUUGUUUUAGCUUAUUGUCAUGUAAUUAAUACUUCCUUAUUAGUCUAUUUAUUUUAGCAUGACUUAGUACUUUUAGAUUGUGUUUAUUUUUUAUGGCUUUUUAAUUAGCAAUAUUUAUAUUACAUAAUUUUAUUAACUUUAUUGUUGAAUAUUUUAGGAUAAUGCCAUGACAUAUCUCAUAUUUUGUAUUAUUUUCUUGNNNNNNNNNNNNNNNNNNNNNNNNNNNNNNNNNNNNNNNNNNNNNNNNNNNNNNNNNNNNNNNNNNNNNNNNNNNNNNNNNNNNNNNNNNNNNNNNNNNNNNNNUUAUAUAGUUGUAUCUUACUAAGAUUAAAGAAAUAUUUUGAGCAUACGCUAUAUGUUUUGUUCUACGAAGAUUUUACCAGAAAAAAAUUCGAAAAACCCGAAUAACCCGAAAACUCGAGAAAAUUUGAGAAAAACCGAUAUUGAAAAAUCGAGUUUUAUUGGUUUGGUUUGGUCUUUAGAUUUAAUAACCCGACACAAUUGGUUUGGUUCCUUUAAGACAUAAAUACUUGGUUGCCCCGAGAACCGUAGCUAUACACAGAUUCUUAGACUCACUGACGAUAAUCAGGAUGGUUCAUAACACGGAUUUGGCAAAUGGAUUUUGUAAUCCACACUUCAUAUACCACAGAUAUGGACACGUAGGAGGGUUCAAUAACCCGGAAAGAAAAAUAUGUAGCAAAGGAAACCAGCAAAAAUGGGAGGAACAUAGGCGUUUCGCUUUUAUGGAGGUCUUUUUGGGGCUUUUGGUAUUCCCGGGGAAAGAUGGAAAUAUUGACAUAAAAAUAGUCAGGGUCGUCAACACUUUAAUGAAUCAAUCCAAAAGCACUCUUGUGCCCAUGAUAGUAGCUGGAAUAUUCCGCGCUCUUACAGUCUGCAAAGUCGGAGGAGACUUCUUUGAGGGGUGCAAUCUAUUGUUGCAAAUGUGGAUGAACAAAAACCUGUGCCAUCGUCCUCAAUUCCUGAGUUAUGGGUCUACGGAGAAAACUUGCAUAAAGGAGUUUUAUACGAAAAUUAAGGAGGUUAUCUUGCCUGAAGGAGUCACGGAAUGGACAUCAUACUUUCGUUCCCUCACGGCCAGUCAAAUAGUGUGGACGUUUGGAUGGUUACCUGUUGAUGAAAUUAUAUAUAUGCCAGCAGCGGGGCCACACUUCCUCUUGAUAGGUCUUAAGAGCAUUCAGCCUUAUGCUCCACAUCGGGUUUUAAGGCAACUCGGGAGAUGCCAAGUAGUGCCAAAUAACGACGAUCUUAGUGUCUAAUUGGUUGGAUUGGUCCUGAUGGCCAGUUUCCUGAAGCAAAGGUCCGUCAGAUCUGGAGCGAAUGUCAAUACUUGCAACGAAUACAUGUGUGCGGGAUCGAUCUAAUGGAGAAGUUUCACCUGGGUAUCAUGAUUGGUACAAAAGGGAAGUUGCAUUCGGGAGGCCAGCCAAAAGACCUCACCUCCAGGAUUUUGCUGAAUCAUCACAAGAACAAUGGGCCUGGUUAGCUAAAGAAAAUGAAUACACGACCAAAAUCUGAGAUUUGGAAAGGUGGGUCCGAGACCUUCAGUUUGAAAACAGUGUGCAAGCCGCAACCGAUAAGGGUGAGAAGAAGAAAUUGGCCAAAGAGAAUGAAGCCUUACAAGCCCAAAUUCAAAAAAUGAAGAUAGCGGCCGAAAAUACCAUUAGGAGCGCCAAGGAUGCAAAACUUAUAGAUAAUCUAAGGCAAAAAGUGAAUGACUACUGUUUUGAUCUCAACAAAACAAAAAAGGAAUUAGUCAGGGUUCGGAAACAAUUGGCUAAAAAUGCAGAAGAACGGGCCCGCAUGGUUAAGUAGUUGAAAGAAGAGCAUGAUAAUGAGGUCACACGAUUAAAUAAAAGGGUCAUCUCCACAGAGCACAAAAUGAUCAAAUAGGGGAAAGAAUUCAAGAUUGAAAGAGACCAUUGCUAAACGGUGUUGGCACAAUUAGAAAUGGACUUGCAGCGACUCCAAGAACAAAACCAGGUAGCGGAGCAGACAUUGCAGGCUAGGGCCCAACAGAUAGCAUGGUUACUUCAGGAAAAAGGCAGGAUCAGAGAGAUAAUCUUAACCGUUGCUCACUACAUUACUAGGAAAUGCUAAGUGUGUGAGAACAUGACUCGCGCCACCUUUUUUGCAACGGUGAUGAUAUUUGUUAAACACAUAGUGGGUGACCUGCACAAACUUUAAAGGGAACUUGCAUAUAGGGCCGUGGCAAGACCGAGCGAUGUCCCGCGGGUACUAGGAGCUUUAAUGUAUUCAUGAUUUCCUGUUGUACUAAGAUUUUGUCAAUUGUUUGAGUAUGUAUUUUCUUUUCACUAAGAGUCUGUCAGUUGAUUGAGUUUGUAUUUCCUUUGAAAUAGAAUAGUUGAUGUUGGAGUCUGUAGCUUUUAUUUUCAUCAGAGUUUGUUAGUUAUGUUAAUCUGUCAGUUUUAAGUCUUUGUAAUCGAAGUAUUUGCUACCAAUAAAAUUGAAAAUCCCAAUACAUAUUUUCUUCUAUUUUACAUUUAAUUUCACGAACUAUGCUUGGUCUUAUUCAUGGGGGUCAUGAUACGUAGGCAACCUCCAUAGGAUCCGAUCAUAACCAAAUGGAAAAGGAAAUAAGAAGAAAAACAAGAGAGAAAAGAAAAAUAAAAGGGAGAAAGAAAAUAAGAAACCAAACGAAAAAACAAUGGAAAAACAAGAGGGAAUGAGAGAAUAAUAACAAAUAGAAAACAAAAGUAAGAACGAAAAAGAGAGAGAAAAAAGAAAAGAAAAAGGAAGUUGCAAUCAAAAAUAAGGAAAGUCGGGAUGACGCACGCAGCUAAGCGAAUGCAUAAUAGAAAUGGUUAACUGCUUAGGUGCAUUCAUUCCCCAAACAUGCGGUUAUCAAAUAUGUUAAUUCCCUAACUCUAACCAAGUUGUUGUUGAUAUUGAGUCCAAGCAUGUGGUUAUGUAAGGCCCCGAAAAAUUUCGCUAAAUAACCUAAGAUUUCGUGGUGCCAUGUAGGCUUAUUAUAAUAAUUUAUGUGCUAUUAACAUGGUGUACAUAGAUUAUAGUUUGUAAAUAUGUGUAUAAGUCUUAUACUAAGUAAUUUGCGGUCCAAAGAAAGGCCUAGGUCUAAGAAAUAUUGGAAGGGUUCUUAAUAGGCUAAGAUUCCCAAUGAGCUUGCACAAGUCCCCACUUUGAGAAAGCACGCCUAAGUAUGUAUAAGCUUUUAUGUGGCGAAUAACAUAUUAAAUGAAAGGUCUUUGAGAUUAGUUUCCAUCGGUUCAAAUCGUUCGUCAUUCAAACAUUCCUACACAAAGUUAUGCUCAAAUUACCAAAAACAGCAAAGAAUUUUUCACUACCGCGCCGCACCAUGCGUCUUCCCAUGCGGCAUGACUAUGCAGAUUAUCAGAGCACUUCCAAUUUCAUUUCUGAGAACACUUUCCACUACUACGGCGCACCACGCGCCGUCCCAUGCGGCGCGACAGUACAAAAAUGGACUUUUAAAACCCGAACUCUAUUUCAUUUAACUCGUUUAGGGUUCAUAUUUUUGGGUAUUUUCUUCUGAUUUUAAAGAGAAGUGAGAGCAUUUAGAGAGAGAGAAAGGGGGUCCUAGAGGGAGAAGGGGUUCUUCAUCAACAUUUAUCCUAAAGAUCUUGCUUAAACCUUGAAGAUUUGUCAAGAAGGGCACCUAGGUCAUCUUCCCAAAAGGUAAGAGUCUAUAUUCCAAGCUCUUAACUUCUAAAUACAACUAGGAUAGACCAUUAGAAGGGUAAUUGAUGAGGGUUGAAGUGGAUAUCUUUCAUGCAUGAGUUCUUAAGAGUAUUUUGUUAGGUCUUGAGCUAAGGAUGGAAUGAGGGAUGGUAGGCUCUUUCAAAAAAUAAUUUUAAAAGCAUAACACCCACUUAGUGUUUGAAAAUAUACUCAAAUAAACUAGAAAUAUGAAUUUGUGUUCGAUUUGUCAUGUUCCUAAGAGAUUGGCAUUGCUAAGAAUCUCGGAGUAUAGCAGGACUUAAGAAAAGCUCAAUCGAGGUAUUUAGGCUAAACUUUCUCUCUUGUAAGCGAAUUCCAUAUUGUUUGAAAGUUUAUGUGUGGUUUUACCUACCAAAAUUGCAUAGUCCUAAGUCGCAUCUUAAAUGAAGUUUAGCAUGCUAAUUGGGUGAGAAGAAUUGCUCUGUUUAAUGCUCCUAGUUUCUAUUGUGUGUACUAAAUGACUUGGUUUAUUAUCUCUACUUGGUCUACUUGUUGACAACACCCACUUAAUGUUUGAAAAUAUGCUCAAAUGAACUAGAAAUAUGAUUAUCUCUCUAAUUUGUGGUUCGAUUUGUCAUGUUCCUAAGAGAUUGGGGUUGCUAAGAGUCUCGAAAUAUAGUAGGACUUAAGAAAAGCUAAAUCGAGGUAUGUAGGCUAAACUUUCUCUCUCAUAAGUGAAUUCCAUAUUGUUUGUAAGUUUAUGUGUGGUUUACCUACCAAACUUUUAUAGUCCUGAGUUGCAUCUUAAAAGAAGUUUGGCAUGCUAUUCAACUGAGAAGAAUUUCUUUGUUUAAUUCUCCUAGUUGCUCUUGUGUGUACUCAAUGACUUGAUUGAUUAUGUCUACUUGUUGAUGAGAUGUAAUGACAUAUGGAAAUGAAUCGAAUCAGGAAGUGUGAAACAAUUAUGAAAUAAGUCUCAAAUCUUAUGAACUAACUUCCAAAUGUAGAAUGGCCUAAAGUUCUUGUACCUGAACUAUGCCUAUAAAUGGCUAUUUUAUAUAAUAUUUUGCCUUAUAGAUACAAUCAAUGUGUAAUAUAAUUGUUGGCUUGUAUUCCUGUUUGGGAAGAGUCCCUUAUGCUUGAUGACUCUAUCUAAUACAUAAUUUCUGGAAUAUUUGGUACGUUGAUAUUGGUUGGCGAUCUUUGGAAAUAAAGGGAUAAAAAUGUAAAAAACCGAAUACGGCCACUGUGCCAAGAAUAAAAAAUCUUGUGAAUGGCCAAAUGAGCCAAGGAAAUACUAUUGUUGUUGGUGGAUGGAAAUGCUAAUAGGAAUCUAUAUAUUGUGGAGGAUAUUGAGGUAAGUAUGGUUGCGUUUAUGCUAUAUUCGUAUACUUGUAUUUAUAUUACAACUGUGUGCACUACUAAAUUGAAUCAAAUAUGUUUUUUGGGAGUAUCUUUAGCAACACCCAGGAAGGCUGGGUCAUAAGACUCACUCCUAAAAUUACACGUGCCGGUGUAGGGGUGGAUCGUGCUUAUUCCCCUUAACUGGAUGAUCUUGGUAACAUUAAAAAUUGGUAACGCCAAUCCACACGGCAUAUAUGGGGAGGCAACUUAGCCAAUCGGGUCGUGAUCGGAUGUCAUGCCACACACAUGGUGGUAUUGUGCUGGAAAUUAAAAAUAUGGAAAUUUAAGACCUCGGAAUUCAAAAACUGGAAAUUAGUGAUUGUGGUACAUGUCUUUAAAGGGGCGACCUAGCCGAUCGGGUCGUGAUCAGACUUCGUUCUAACAAAGACGGUGGUUAAACUUAUAUCGGGGCUAGAGAUCUUCCAACCAAUAUAUAUAUAUAUAUAUAUAUAUACAUACAUACAUACAUACUAUACAUAUAUUUCAUAUACUAGAGGAAUAACAUGUUUCAAAAUUGGGUGUUACAACAUUGUUGAUCUUGACUUACUGUUUGUGAAUUCUCUGCUUGUACGGUUAUUCUAUUCUGAAAUAGGACUUUUAGCCUUACAUACUAGUGCUAUUUGACGUCACUAACGUACCUUUUGUCGGGGGUGCUACAUUGGUGUUAUGAUUGUAGGUGAUUCUAUAGAAGAUAGUUCAGUCCACCGGCAGUAACACCUCCUUUACUUUCCGUCAGCUGUAUUGGUGAGCCCCACUCCACUUCGGGGUCAUUUUGUAUAUCUUUUGUCAUUUUCUCAUUACAUUUUGAGGAAUAGCUGGAGCCUUGUUGUCGGCACUUCUCUACUUGUACUUAGAGGCUCCGUAGACUAUUGUGGGUGGUGGUUGAUGUUGAGAGUCCGGGCUAGAUGUGUUGUUAUUUGAUAAGCCUAUUUUUCAUUAAACUUGUAAUAUUUUUGAAAACUAAGUGAAGUAAUUAGCGGGAAUGAGAUGAAGGAUGCUAAAGAUAGAUUUCUUAGUGUUUUAUUAAAUGGUAUAUCCCCUAUUUAUUUAUGAACUAGUUUGGGUAGAAUGAAACAUAACAGGCUUGCUCAGUCAGGUUUACUUAGUUGAGCACCAGUUGCGCUCCUCGGAUUUUGGGGCAUGACAAACUUGUAUCAGAGCCUAAUGUUUUAAUGUAUCCUAGGAUGUCUCGGAGCCGUAUCUAGUAGAGUCCUUCUUAUCGGUGUGUUGUCGAUCACAUCUAUAAGUUGGAGGCUAUUUUGACACUUAGGAAUUUCACUCUUCUUUGACAUUUUGGAUCGUGCUAUAGAGCUAAAGAUAGGGAUCUAAUUUCCUUGUUUUGUCCCAUUUAUCAUAUGAGUAAUCCACGAUUUCGAAGUAGCGAGGAAGGAAUAACCCCUACCAAUGAAUUUAGGGGAAAUUGCGUACAAGUUUGUAGGGAGGAUGCGUCAAGCCGUGGAAGGUUUGGAAGAGCUUGUUGCUAAGGGGAGUGUCCUUGUCCCUACUAAUUUCAUCGUACCAACAGAGCAUGUAGUGAGGACGUCUAAGAAAUGAAAGAGGGUUGUUGGUGCUGAUAAUCCAAAAAGCUCAGUUUGCAUGAAACGUCACUUGAGGAGAUGUUGGAUGACCCUCGAGAUAUGUUACGGUUAUGGAAAGAGGGGGCAUAAGAAGAAUAAAUGCCCUUAGUUGGGUACACAUGUCCCGGACUGCUCGGUAUGUGGUAAGGAACAUGUAACGCCGUGUCAUGAGCAAGCCCAACAAUGUGUUUGGGGCGGUAGGUCAGGGAAAAUCCAAGGGCCCGCACAACAAACCAAUACUGGAAUGGGUACUCCCAUAUUGGAAGCUUGGAGGAAGGACAAGGGGGAAGCAUAUACUGUAUAAAAGGAUGACGAUUAUCAGGUUGGUAGGGCGAGUCAGUUUAGUGGACCUUGCCCGCGUUGUGUGAAAUGUGGGAAAUGUCAUCUGGGAGUAUGUCUCUAUGGUACUAAUGUGUGCUAUAGGUUUGGUAUGUUAGGUCACCUUCAACAAGACUGUCAUUUAUCUAGCCAAAUCGCAGGCAAGGGUGCAGCGUAGCCAGCUAGUUCUAAGCUACUUCAUCUAUAGCGCCUUCCAGACAGGAAGCAGUCGGGGGUGAUAUUCGGAGCUCGGGAGGAACCAACAAGUUCUAUGCAUAAGGAAGAAUCAGAGGUCGGAGUCUUUUCCAGGUGUGGCUACAGGUAUAUUGACUUUUCAAUUACGUGAUGUAUAUGCUCUUUUGAUUCCAGUUUCGCUUUGCCAUUUGUCAAUCCUUACAUUGUUUUGGAAUUUGCGAUACAGUCAGGACGACCUUAUUGUCCAUUUUGUGUAUAUAUACUUUGAGCAAGAUGUAUUACUCGUGAAGCCUCUUCAUUAAAAUUAUCUUACAUGCAACCUUCUAUGGAAUUGAGUCUUACAAUGAUUUCCUGAAUAGAGUCAGAAUCUGAGGGUAACUAUUUCCACUUGCUUUCCUAGACUCUCACUAAGAAACCAUAUCUUUUUAGUUUCUUACAAGUGAUUUUACUCGAAAGAAACAUGUACUCGUGCAUAUGCACAAACCGUCAUAUAAUUUGCCUAUGUGCUACCAAAUUCGGUGUAAAGCUACCCGGUAUAUGGUCCUUAUUGAGUCACUCUUUUCUCCCCGGUGUAGAUGGCUUCUGUGGUUCAAAUAAUCACUCUGCUCCUUCACUAAUAUUGUCAUAAAUUUUCUCACUAUCUAGUGACAUGAGAGCCUAUCUCAACUCCUAUUAUGGGUGUGCAUAUCAGUUGAACAGAGCGGUUCUCUAUAUAAGCUUCUAAGAAAUUUGAGAUCUUCACAAACCCGCCACAAGAUGGCCUUUUCCUAUCCCAUUGUAGUAUGACUUUUGGUCACACCAAAAUUGUUCUGCAAUAAGUAACUCAGUUUAUUCCUAGCAUUGAAGCUUCCGUGGAUUGUCCAGGUAUCACAUCCAUAGAAUUAUGAUAAGAGGAUCGUGUCAAUCUUCAUCUCAUAAGAAAAGAGAUUAUUCCCUCUCCAUCUAGCACAUGAAACCCUUUCCAUAUUUUUAAUAAGUCCUGUUAAUGUAUAAUCAAUCAUGAAAGGUUCGUAUUAGGCGUUUUAGAUUUGGCGCGUACCAUACUAAUUUGAAAGGCAAGUUGUCGUAUCCUCAUCAUCUUUCGUAUAGGAUAAACUCUCAAGAAGGGUUGAGUGGUUCGGAUUAUACUAACCUCACAAGUGCUUAACUUCUACUUCUUUAACAUGGGCUUAUGGCACAAGGUCAAGGUAUCAAUCAAUAUUAGGAGUAUAACUAGACGUUAUAUCUUGAAACCCCUAUCUUAUACAAGGUGUGACAAUAUUCCCACUCUUGAUAAUUCGAUCUUCCCCACACUUCGGGAGUCGAUCGGUGGUACGUACCUAAAUUUUACUCCGUAAAUAAUUUUUACUGCUGGUAUGCUAUCUGAACUUUAUGCCUUAUUGUUCCAACCAAUGAUUUCAUCGCAACGAUUGAUCGUGUCCCCAUAAUAUGUAUUAUGUUUUGUGAUUCUAAAAUAAAAUACAACCUUAUAAAAUACCAUGUUCAACACAUCUACAUUGGUGGAUUCUUGAAACACUUUUAGUCCAGUCUAGAACCUCGUUUUUCCUAUUUGUGGUAAAUCUAUUAAGGAUAUGGGCUCAAGUAUGUCAAGGGGUAGCGUCAUCCUGCGGUCAACCGAAUUGGGUAGGAACUCUAUGGUCGCAUUCAUUCUAGCCCCUUUUAGAAUGAUGGUUAAAAGUCGCAAAUAAUAUAAAAUUGGGAAUCCGACAUAAAUAUCUGGAGGUAGGAACUCUAUGGUCGUAUUCAUUCUAACCCCUCUCAGAAUGAUGGUUAAAAGUCGCAAAAUGUUUAAAAUUGGGAAUCCGACAUAAAGAUAUAGAUUUAAAGAAGUGCGCAAGCUAUUCUCAAGGUUUCUUCUAGGAAGAUGCUAUGCGAAUUGUUCAUAAGGGUAAAGUAUAUGUAGUACAUUUCAGAAUUUAAAAAGCCUUAAAAGAGAUGUGUUAAGUUAUGAGUAUGAUUUCCCAUUGUCGUAUUGUUGCCCUCCAUGAUCCCGAUGUUCCAUGUAUAUAUGAUUAAAGAGGUGAUUGGGAACCUUCGGUAUAUCAUUCCGUUGGAAAUUAUUGAAGGUGAAGUUAAUGGGUAGUUAGCUUAUGCGAUAUAUCUAGCUGACAUUCUUGUUAUAUGAGUUUAGAGGUUGGGAUUGUUUCCAUAAAUAUGUUGUGGCAAAGCAUGUAGGAGGAUAAGUCCACCUUGAAGGCCGAAAAUGUCGUUUAAAGAAAAUACUCUCGCUUGAUCGUAUAACAAUUGGUUUUGAUUUGAAAGGUACCUUAUGGGUGUUGUGAUUUAAAAAUGUGCAAUCCAUGCCCAGGUAUCAUCGUGAUAGUGUGGUGCUUAUAAUAUUGAGGUUCCUGUUAUUGAUAUAUACAUUAUGGUAAUUUGUCCCAGGUAUCAUCGUUAUAGUGUGGUGCUUAUAAUAUUCAGGUUCUUGUUAUUGAUAUAUACAUUAUGGUAAUUUGUCGAGUUGUGAAUAUGUUUAUGUUGCUAGGGUAUGUUUUUGGGGCUCCCUGACAGGUGGAUAAGGCCUAGAUACAAAUGAGACUCUACCAAAUUUUGGAGAAUUUGGGAGUUAGUUAAAAUUUAGGGACUUGAAGUAGGUUAGAAAGAAAUCUAUUAUGUUAAGUAAGGGUGUACAUAGACCGGGUUGGUUCGGAGUUUACAAUUACCAAACCAAACCAAUUGUGUCGGGUUAUUAAAUCUAAAGACCAAACCAAACCANNNNNNNNNNNNNNNNNNNNNNNNNNNNNNNNNNNNNNNNNNNNNNNNNNNNNNNNNNNNNNNNNNNNNNNNNNNNNNNNNNNNNNNNNNNNNNNNNNNNNNNNNNNNNNNNNNNNNNNNNNNNNNNNNNNNNNNNNNNNNNNNNNNNNNNNNNNNNNNNNNNNNNNNNNNNNNNNNNNNNNNNNNNNNNNNNNNNNNNNNNNNNNNNNNNNNNNNNNNNNNNNNNNNNNNNNNNNNNNNNNNNNNNNNNNNNNNNNNNNNNNNNNNNNNNNNNNNNNNNNNNNNNNNNNNNNNNNNNNNNNNNNNNNNNNNNNNNNNNNNNNNNNNNNNNNNNNNNNNNNNNNNNNNNNNNNNNNNNNNNNNNNNNNNNNNNNNNNNNNNNNNNNNNNNNNNNNNNNNNNNNNNNNNNNNNNNNNNNNNNNNNNNNNNNNNNNNNNNNNNNNNNNNNNNNNNNNNNNNNNNNNNNNNNNNNNNNNNNNNNNNNNNNNNNNNNNNNNNNNNNNNNNNNNNNNNNNNNNNNNNNNNNNNNNNNNNNNNNNNNNNNNNNNNNNNNNNNNNNNNNNNNNNNNNNNNNNNNNNNNNNNNNNNNNNNNNNNNNNNNNNNNNNNNNNNNNNNNNNNNNNNNNNNNNNNNNNNNNNNNNNNNNNNNNNNNNNNNNNNNNNNNNNAUUUAUAAAUUACAUUACAAUAAGUAUAUUUAUAUAUUAAAUAUAUCUAAAAUUUCUAUAUAUCUAAUGUCGGGUUGGUUUGGUUUCGGUUUGAAUUUCUUUAGUUAAAACCAAACCAAACAAAUUAUGGUCGAUUUUUUUUUCCAACACCAAACCAAGUCAAACCAAACCAUAGUCGGGUUUUGUUUCUCGGUUUGACUCGGAUUAUCGGGUUGGUGCGGUUUAUCGGUUUUCUUUGUACAACCCUAAUGUUAAGCAUGUAAGUCGGACUCAACUCCUCAUUCGAGGACGGAUGAUCCUAAGGGGGGAGGGGAGAAUGUAAGGCCCCGAAAAAUUUCGCUAAGUAACCUAAGAUAUUGUGGUGCCAUGUAGGCUUAUUAUAAUAAUUUAUAUGCUUUUAACAUGGUGUACAUUGAUUGGAUUUUGUAGAUAUGUGUAUAAGUCUAAUGGUAAGUAAUUCGGGGUCCAAUGAAAGGCCUAGGUCUAAGAAAUAUUGGAAGGGUUCUUAAUAGGCUAAAAUUCCCAAUGAGCUUGCACAAGUUCCCAUUUUGAGCAAGCACACCUAAUUAUGUAUAAGGCUUUACAUGGUGAAUAACAUAACAAAUGAAAGGUCUUUGAGUCUAGUUUCCAACGCAUAGACUCUUACCUUUUGGGAAAAUGACCUAGGUGCCCUUCUUGACAAAUCUUCAAGGUUUAAGCAAGAUCUUUAGGAGAAAUGUUGAUGAAGAGCCCCUUCUUCCUCUAGGAACCCCUUUCUCUCUCUAAAUGCUCUCACUUAUCUAUAAAAUCAGAAGAAAAUACCCAAAAAUAUGAACCCUAAACGAGUUAAAUGAAAUAGAGUUUGGGUCUUAAAAACCCAUUUUUUGUACUGUCGUGCCGCAUGGGAUGCCGCGUGGUGCACCAAGUAGUGGAAAGUGUUCUUAGAAACGAAAUUGGAGGUGCUCUGAUAAUCUGCACAGUCACGCUGCAUGGGACGGCGCAUGGUGCGACGCGGUAGUAAAAAAUUCUUUGCUACUUUUGGUAAUGUGAUCAUAACUUUGUGUAGGAAUGUCCGAAUGACAAACAGUUUCUCUUUGGAGCAUUGGCUCAAGUGGCAACGCGAACUAUGAAAUAAAAGUGAAAGAAAGAAGAAGAAUCAUUAAAUGGUACCCUUGUCGGGUUGUUAUUGUGUCAUUGAUUAUCUUUCUUGCCGGGAUGUUAAAGUUGUUGAUGUUGUUCCCUUGCCAGGAGUUAACUCUUUACUUGUGUUCCCUUGCCCGGAUUUUUAUUAUUGUUUGUUUACUCUAUUGCCCCCUUGUUUGUGAUUGAUAUUUAGGUGAGGAUGAGUGUUAAAGCACGAAGGGUGAUGCCGUGCAUUGCUUGCUUAUGUGAGGAAAUAGGGUAAAGCACGAAGGGUGAUGCCGUGCAUUGUUUGAUAUUGUGAGGAAAGAGUGUAAAGCACGAAGGGUGAUGCCGUGCUGCAUGAUGUACCAUUCCGUGCCUAUUAUAUUGAUUUCAUGAUGAGGAAAGAGUUUAAAGCACGAAGGGUGAUGCAGUAUCAUACGAUGUACCAUUCUGUACUGAUAUUCAUAGAUUAUAUGGUGAUGGAAGAGAGUAAAAGCACAAAGGGUGAUGUCGUGAACUUUAUAUGAUUGAUUUGGUGAUAACGCGAGUAAAAGAACGAAGGGUGAUGCCGUGUAACUGUUGAUUUCUUACUCUUGUUGAUAUUCUAGUUGUGUUGUUUUCUUUCCAUAAUUGGUGUUUUAUUUAUGAACUGUUACUCUUCCUACAACAUGUUGCUUUCCCUCUUUGACUGGUUAUUUUUUUCACUUCUAUUCCAUCUCAUGUAUAUAUUGAAAUGGGAGCGGGUGGUAUGCCUACCACAAGAGAUAUUGAAAUGAGAGCGCUUGGUACGCCUACCGCAAGUUAAUGAUGAAAUGGGAGCGGGUGGUACGCCUACCACGAGAUAUGAGAAAUAGGAUCGGGUUGCACGCCUGUAACAAGAUGAGUAUUGAAAAGUUAAAGUUUCCUUUAUUUCCCUUUAUCCAUAUUAGAUGUUAAGUUGUAGUUUCCACAUUAUUCUUGGUAUGAUGCUUUAACUGUUACCCUCGAAGCAAGUUUCCCAGCUUUAAUUGUUUAUUAUCUGUUUAUUUUUCCGCCAAAUAUUAUAUUAUUGCUCAGGUUUAUCUGGAGUCUUGUCUUAGCCUCGUCACUACCUCGUCGGGGCUAGGCCAGACACUUACCAGCACACGGGGUCAAUUGUGCUGAUACUAUACUCUGUGCUAUUUUGCAUAGAUCCCGGUACCGGAUGGCACCAGUAAGUCGGGAGCCAACUUUCAGUUCACCGAGACACCGAGGUAGCCUUGAAGGUGUCCGCAGGCCCGGCGUCUCCACUAUCUUAUAUUUCAUUAUGUUAUCUCGUGUAUCCGAGACAAACAAUGUAUUAUUUCUUUCAAACGAUUGUAUUUAGUAUUCUAAGUAGUUCGUGAGUAUUGUGACACAAGUCCUGGCUAGAGUCUUAUGUUGAAUUUUUCGCAUUUCUAUUCAGUUUUCUAUGAAUAAAGACUUUCGCUUAUUAUUUAAUUCCUUUGCUUUUAUAUUAUUGUCAAUAAUUAUUAAAAGUGAUUGUGUUAUUAAUGAAAAAUUAAUUAAAUUUGGCUUACCUAGCUCACAUUAGUAGGUGCCAUCACGACCAGGGGUAGAAAAUUCGGGUCGUGACAUAGUGUAAUGUACCUGUGAUUAUAUGUAAUGUUAUUAGGAACAAACAAUAAAAAUAAAAAACGAUGACGAAAAUCUUUGAUUUCAGAGAAGAAAAAAUCAAAAAACGCGAAUAACAGGAGAGUUUUUAGAAACAAUAGAGAACUAGCGUGUACUUGGAGAGAAAGUAGUCUUUUAAUAAAGAAGGACAAAAUAGUCUUUUAAAAGGCUUUUAAUAAAAAAACAGGUACAAGUGCAAACAUAAAAAAAAAUUGUUACAGGUUAAAAACGAGCGAGCGCCCCAUGUAAUUUUUACCUAUUCUACUCUAACCCAACGCUCCGAAGCCCAAGUGCUCCCCCGCCAUCUCUGUCGGAAAAUUGAAGAAAUUUCAUCAUCUUCUCUUGUCGAAGCUUUCCCUCAUUUUUCUCAAAAGUAUAAGUUAUUAUCUAUUUACAGCUUUAUUCUUAGCUCUUUUUUCACAAUUUGGUUGUUCCUAAAUUCUAAUGUUGCAUUUAAUUGGUUGAAAAUCCCCUUUAGCACCUUAAGUUAAAAUUAGUGCUACUAUUUUUUUUAUAUUUUAAUUUUUCUAAUUAAAAGUCCUCUUUUAGCAUUUGAUAUCAAUGUGUUUCAGAUCUUUCAAGAUUAUUAAUUAUUAGACCAUUUGGUUGAUCUUGAAUUUGCUGCAAAAUAAUCAACUUUGUUGCUUCCUUUUUUGGCCUUUAGUUAUCAUUGGAUGUCUCGCUACAAUGUUUCAGAUCUUUCAGGAAUUUUAAUUAUUAGACCAUUUGGUUGAUCUUGAAUUUGCUGCAAAAUAACCAACUUUGUUGCUUCCUUUUUUGGCCUUCAGUUAUCAUUGGAUGUCUUGCUACAAUGAAAAGUUUUACACAAUUGUCGUAACCGAUUAAAAAUAGAACACAAUGGGUAUUUAAGUGGAUAAUGGUAGCGGCGGAUCCAUUAUCUUCAGUUUCAAAGACUGUGGUUGGUCAUAAGAAAUUGAUGGAAUGAUUCAGCAAAGAUCAAAUUCUCCAAUAAGCAACGUGAUUUUCUUCAAACAAUUCAUAUGAGAUAUCUUAGCAUAAUAGCAACGAGAUUUUACGAUUCUAAGGAAGUACAGUGCAGUCUUUCUCAAGAAUAUCAUACGAACUUUUCCCUACUUUGAUCUGUCAUUACGUAUAGUCGCAAUUAACGUGUAUUAGAGGGAUUGUCAAGAGAACCAACUUAGGUAUGUUAAAACUAUUCCUUCUUUCCUUUUGGCAUGAUCCAUACGAGACAAACGAAACGAGCAAAUGUACAACUUUCAUAAGUGACUCUAUACGUAAAAAUGCUAGAGAUGUUUAUAUUCUUGAUUCUCGAUAAGUUUUAUUAUUCUAUCGUCUGUUCAUUGGUCUCAAAAAAUACAUAACAUGAUAAAUCCUAUUUCAUGAUAUUAGUUGGAGGCAUAAUGGUCUUAUGACACUCCGAAAGAUUUUAUUGACGUACUUCUCAUGCAUUGCAUUUAUUUACAUUGGUCCAUGACCAGAUGGCAUUAUAUAUAUAUAUAUAUAUAUAUAUAUAUGGGAUAUGGGAAAGGUUAUAUCGUUAUAUACGCACCACCANNNNNNNNNNNNNNNNNNNNNNNNNNNNNNNNNNNNNNNNNNNNNNNNNNNNNNNNNNNNNNNNNNNNNNNNNNNNNNNNNNNNNNNNNNNNNNNNNNNNNNNNNNNNNNNNNNNNNNNNNNNNNNNNNNNNNNNNNNNNNNNNNNNNNNNNNNNNNNNNNNNNNNNNNNNNNNNNNNNNNNNNNNNNNNNNNNNNNNNNNNNNNNNNNNNNNNNNNNNNNNNNNNNNNNNNNNNNNNNNNNNNNNNNNNNNNNNNNNNNNNNNNNNNNNNNNNNNNNNNNNNNNNNNNNNNNNNNNNNNNNNNNNNNNNNNNNNNNNNNNNNNNNNNNNNNNNNNNNNNNNNNNNNNNNNNNNNNNNNNNNNNNNNNNNNNNNNNNNNNNNNNNNNNNNNNNNNNNNNNNNNNNNNNNNNNNNNNNNNNNNNNNNNNNNNNNNNNNNNNNNNNNNNNNNNNNNNNNNNNNNNNNNNNNNNNNNNNNNNNNNNNNNNNNNNNNNNNNNNNNNNNNNNNNNNNNNNNNNNNNNNNNNNNNNNNNNNNNNNNNNNNNNNNNNNNNNNNNNNNNNNNNNNNNNNNNNNNNNNNNNNNNNNNNNNNNNNNNNNNNNNNNNNNNNNNNNNUAUAUAUAUAUAUAUUUCCAUGUUCUAUAUUCCAUAGAUGAUUUUUCCCACAAUGUCUUAAUUGAUAUGAUGAGAUGUCAGAGGCUUGAUGAUGUUAUGAGAACAUGUACUUAUGCACGACAUGACAUUCAUAUGCACAUUCAUGACAUUAUAAGUAUUUCCUAAUUUACAAAGUUAUCCAGACUUAUAGGUUAAGUCAUUUACUCUAUAUUUCUUCCAUAUCUUUUACGUACUUAUUUAUGUGCCUUACAUGCUUGGUACAUUACUCAUACCGACGUUCCUUUUGCCUAGGGAUGCAGUGCUUUAUGCUCGCAGGUCCCGAUAGACAGGUCGAGAGUUCUCUAAAUAGGCAAUCAGCUCAACGGAAGAUGUUGGUGCGUUCCAUUUGCUCCGGAGUUGCUUGUUUGGUCAGUAUGAGUUAGACACAUAUUGUUUGGUAUGGCGGGUCCUUGUCCUGAUCUUUAUGACAAGUAUGUACUCUUAGAGAUAUGGAGACAGAUUUCACGUAUACGGAUGCUUGUAUGUCCUUUCCGGCAUAUGUUUUAUAACAGGUUGGAACAUCCUAUAUUGAGUAUUCCUCUAUGUCUAUUCUGGCUAGCCCAUGACGAUCUGUUUGGCUCAUUUGCCAAUGAAGGUAUAAUAAGAAAGAUAUGUUAUGUUGGUACUCUGUUAAGUAGGUACUAGGUGUCCGCAGCAGCCCAUAGGUUUGGGUCAUGACAAAUGAGGGUUGAGCUUCACCAUGGAUACUAAAAAUAUAGUUGCUAGGUAGUGAGAAUGGUAUGUAUGUAGUCCAUCUAGGACUAAAAUUUACUUGGAGGGUGGGAGUAGGAACAAAUGUACAUGUUAAAUGUUUGUGUAAAUGUCACAAUGAGGUUGAGAGUGUAAAUUUGUGACCAAGUGUGAGGGUAAUGUCUGAGUAUCCUUUCUUUGUCCGUCGAAUGAUUCAUUUGCUAAUAUUUUGCAGUUUGUUUUAGGUGAAAUGAAUCCCUCUAAGAAAAGAAAAACUGCAAGUGCCUCCACAGGUAGUCAAGCAGGCCAUCCAGGUCACGAGUUUCUGCAUCAGCUCGCCCAUAUAAUCAGAAAAAGUCCGUCUCCUGGGAAGCCCAAGAAUGAUUUAAUAGCAAAGUAGGAAUAUCCCAUACCGUAAAGGGGAACUGAUAUUGGGACUCUCCAAAAUGAUUGUCCUAAAGUGUAUUAGGAUUUGGUCAGGCGAGGAAUGAGGGUGUUCUUCGAAGAACCUGACAAGGCAAAUUUAAUGAUUGUUUGAGAAUUCUAAGGACCAUGUUUGUACAAUCCGGAAGAAGAAAGUGGACUUCCCCAAGGAGGCCAUCCAAAGGGCCUAUCACUUUCUACAGUACGUGAAAGACCCUGAUGAAAACAAUCACUAUUUCACGCACAUCGAAAAUCCUGCUUGUGGUGCACAUUCUUUGCAACCAUUUGUGUACCUAGGAAGGAGGUAGUGUGGAUAAAGAAGAGGAACAAAUUUCAUUCGGCUUCGCUCACUUUUGAGGAGAAGUGCUGGCUAUACACCAUCAAUAACCGCCUGAUGCCUUCAAGCAACACAACUAAGGUGAAUGGUCCUCGGACUGCUCUGGUUUGGUGAUUUAUCAAUGGCCACGACAUUGAUGUGGCUCAGGUCAUUCAAGAUAAGAUUAAAAUUCAUUGUCCAGUGUAGAUAUAUGGUUUCUUGUUCCCGCCGCUAGUCACUCGGUUGUUUCGUAAAGCACGGGUACCAAAAAAUCACACUAUGGAUGGGGAAGUCAAGUGAGAACAGAAAUUCGGGCUGAUAAGUUUGUAAGUGGGAAGGAAUAUGGUGUGGUUGUUGAGGCGGGUACUGAGGAAUUUUAUGCACCCGACAAGGUGAAGGAGAAGCACGGCGAGGAUAUUGACAGCAACCCCGCAUGUGCAUGGUGUUGGAGAUCUUUUUGGUAACAUAUGAGAGACGAGAAUGGUUGCCAUGGAAUAGAAAAUGGCUGGGAUGCAGACUUCUCUCAAUGAUUUGGGCACCAAAGUGGACUCACUCGCUAAUCAAAAUGCCAAAUCCGAGAAGACGAUCAUGGCAUGACUGUGUGCACUUGGCUGGGCUUGUCAUUUAGACCCCGACAUACUCUCCGACACGGAGUGACCCGAUCAGGGGAGUUUUCUUCACCCUUGCAUUUAAAUUUGGUAAUUUGGGGACAUGCCACUAAUCAAGUGUGGGGGUAUGGGUAGUGUAAAUAGUGUUUUUUGGAGAUCUUUGUAGUAAGUCCCCGGAAAAUUUUGCUAAGUAAUUUAAGAUUUUGUGGUGCCAAGGUAGGCUACUUAUUUUAUUUUGUGUGAAAAUGAGGAUUCAUGAUACCAUGGAUAUCAAUUGGAUAUUUCAACAAGCGUAUAAGUCAUAUUAUAAGUGAUUUGGUGUCCAAGGUCUAAGUCUAAGCCAAGUUGGAAAAUUUCAUAAUAGACUAAAGUUAUGAAUGAGUAUACACAAGACCUCACUUUAGAAAAGCAUAUAUCCAUUUAUAUAAGAAGUGGUGUGAUGUAAAACCUAUCAAAUUAAAGCUCUUUAAGUCUAGUUUCUAAUGCAUCAAACUGUUUGUCAUUUGGAGGUAUAUACAGAAAGUUAUGACCAUUUUACCGGAUCUGUGUCAAACGCGACCGCGGGAAAACUAGAAUUUUCUGCCUCUGAGCGCGGCCCGAGCGCGGUAAGAGCGCGUCCACCGCAUCCUGGGUGCGAUUUAACCGUGGUCGAAUGCCUAGCAGACCAAUAAAUAUCCCAAGACCUGGUAUGGAGAGUCUCUAAGUCAUUUUUUGAUCCAGGACUUGCUCUAUCAAGGGGAAUCUGUCCCAUACUUCCCUCCUAUGAUCCAAUGUAAUGUUUUUUGAGUAUUUUGGGUUGAUUACAACUCCUAAGUAUCUCACUUUGGGACAUUCCGUUGUAAGUAUCUCACUUUGUUCCUAGUAUCGUGGUUGCCCGUGGCGUGGUCGUGUAUUGCAGUUGAGAGUUAAUAUAGCAGAAGCAUGUCCAUCUAUAACAAAUCUUUAUUUUCUAUUUACACCUCCACAACAUGUGAUAAUUGUGUUCUUAGUGAAUUCAUUGUGCUAGUUUCCCCACACUUGUUUGAUAGCCAUGAGAGAACACAUCGUUCUAUAAGAAAUUGUAACAGUUUAUUUCUCGUAAGGACCCUUACUAGGCUCUCCGUCAAGACCAAGUACACCUUUGGAUGUUAUCGUAGCACAACGCUUGUUUCUCCUAUUUUCUGUCUUUCAUUAGCAUCUGGAUAUUUCUCAAGUCAAAUCCAUGGAGAAAGAGAACUCGUUAUGAACAUCUGCACACCCUCCAUGAUUAUUUUUUACUAUCUCAUUGGGUUCCCACCUCACUUCAAGUUCAUCAAAGGUUGAUAGCGUGCCGCAAUUGCUGAGGUUGAAUGAUCUCCUUUCGAUAAUGGAGAUUAUCUACACAUGUGCUAGUCCAACGAUCUGCUUAUCAGUCUAACUCUCGCCUUUUGAUUUUGGUUUGACCAAGGAACAAUACACCUAGUAACACAAUCGCAUGUAAAGCUUUUCUCUCAAUCAAGUAUAAUAGAGUCUCCCAAUUUGGCAAGUAAUAGCUGGUUCUGUAGUUGUGUGUUGUAGUGCUUCAUUGUGAAGUAGAGUUGCUAAACAUAAUUGGAUUUUUGAAUUCUGGAGCUAUACACGUGACUAUAUACAAAGAUCUUCUUUUAAAAAAAAAUUUAGCUUCUCGUAAUCCCUUAUAUUACCACCCUUCCAAGUAGUUACAAUGUAAAGGUUACUUCCAUAGGCUCUCUCACAUUUUUUUCAUUUGCCCUUGCAUCAUGUGUCGUUUCUCCAUAUUUUUCAAUAUGAUCUUUCUCAUUUUAUCAACUAGCUAUCCAACUAUAAGAUUCGAUUCAAUUCACCUCACUUUUAUGUACUAUACAAGCCCCCUUUUUCUCUAAAAAAGGAUACUGGAAGUGGGUAAAUUCCCGUUUACUAUAGACUUCUAAUGUCUUCAACUCAGUUUAAGCUUGGUUGUUCCAAAUGGUGAUCUUUCGUUUUGCUACCCUUUUAUCUAUUCAUCUGGUAACUCUCAUUGUAAAACUCAUUUUAUGCUUUAUGGCAUCAAAGAGGAAGUCUUAUAGCAUCAAGGAUGGGGAUAUAUUCCUUUUGCUAGAAUAAAUAAAUAUUGCUGGUAUUCCUUUUAGAUGUUCUUCUAACAACCAUUUACCUGCUCUGCUUGUCCCUGUAACUAGAUAACCUAGGUUACUUUUACCCGAUAAAUGUAUUAAGACAUCUCAUUCUUUCAAACUUAUCCAUGUAUGCACUUUAAAGUCUUGUUUUAUACCAACUCGUAAUGGUUUUAAGUACAUUCUCGCCAUUGUUAAUAAUUUUCUAGGGCUACGUAAACUUGUCUCAUGGGUUCCAAAAGUAAUUAUUUCGCCUAAGUUCAAACUUAUAUUACCAUGGUAUCAAACAAAAGUGCAUCCCCUUUUCAAAAGUCUAAAAUGGGUCGGCUUGGAUGGGUUAUGUGAUAUUCUGAUCACUCGGCUUUUAGGAUUUUUGACAACGUCAUUGUCAUGGCGGGACAUUUUGCUACCCCUAGCAUUUUACCUCCUUAAGAAGGAUAGGAGUUUUAAUUGUCUUUCCUCCUGGAGCAUUACAUCAACCAUUAAAACCCCACUAACAAAUACAUGAUUUUACCUCCUAGCUAUGUGAUUUCACUCGUGAAAAGUUGAGAUUAUAUGCCUUCAUAUUUUUGCACAUAGCAUGAGCAUAUUGAUUUGGAAGAACAGUUGUCGUAUCUUUAAUUCUCUCAUAUAUGGUCAAUUAUCAGGAAGGGCAAAGCUAUUUGAAACAUGACAAUCUCAUAAGUAUUCAACUUCUUUCCAUCCUCAUGGGCCUGUGGCAUAGAUUCCUUAUGUCAGUUAACAAAAAAGAUUGCAAUUCAACUUCAUGUAUUUUGAAUCCCAUAAUGUAUUUCAAGGUGCCGGAGUGUUUUUAUUCUUGAUAAACGGAUUUUCUCUACACUUCAGGAGACGACUGGGUCACGUACUUGAAUAUUCCCCCUUAAUGGUUCCUAUUACCAAUGUACGAGCUACCCUAUAACUUAAUUUUCUAAUAAUUGAUGUUGUCACAAUGACUAAUCAUGUCAGUGUUAUUAGUAGUAAUCCUUGUGUCUAUUAGCAUAUAACCUCAUGAAAUACUCUGCUCAGCACAUUAAAGGAUUCCUGAAUAAUUCCUGCCUGAUCUUAAACUCUGUUGUUCCUCAUUGUAUUAGAUCCAUUGGGUAUUAUAGGUUCAAACGAGUCAAAGAGGAAGCUUCACAGUGUGAUCACAUAUAUUUGAUAAGUAAUUUUAUUGUCAGUUUAUGAUAGCACAUCUUAGAGUAGCUGUUGAAGGUCAUCAAUGGUUUAUUGUGAGUGUUCUCCUAGAGAUUUAGAGUUUUGGAGGGUGAACAUGUUAUUCUCAACAUUUUCCCCUGAAGAUGUUAUAUGAGUUGAUAAUGAAGGUUGCAUAAGUGUAUUCCACAUUAGGCUCCACUAGGAGUUUGAAAUUUCCCCAUAGUUGUUUGCUAUAUAUUUUGUGUAUUCACAUGUCUAUGUCUAAGAAGGUAGUUGGAGAUCAUUUGUGUAUCAUUCCGGUGGAAAUUAUUGAAGGUGAAGUUAAUGGAUAGUUAGCUUAUGCGAGGUAUCUAGCUGUCAUUCUUGUUAGAUAAGUUUAGAGGUUGGAAUUGUUUCCAUAAAUGUGUUAUGGCAAAGCUUGCAAGUCAAGAAGGCCACCUUUAACGUCGAAAGUGUCGCGGAAAGAAAAUAUUUUCGCUUGAUUGUAUAACAAUUGGUUAUGAUUUGAAAGAUACCUUAUAGGUGUUGUGAUCUAAAAAUGUUCAAUCCAUGUUCAGGUAUCAUUAUGAUAAUGUAGUAUUUAUGAGUGUGAGAUUAGUAUUGUUGAUAUAUACAUUGUGGUGAUUUGUCGAGUUGUGGAUGAGUUGUUAGGAUGGUCUUGGUGAUUCUAUGGCAGGUGGAUAGGCCUAGUUACAAAGGAGAUGCUGCCAAAAUUUCUGAAAAAUUUGGGAGUUAGUCUAAAUUUAGGGAAUUGAGGUAGGUGAAAAGGGGGGUUGGUGUGUAUAUUGUGUUAAGCAUUUAGGGCGGACUCUACUUAGCCGAUCGGGGUGUGAUCGGACGCCAUGUUAUACACACAUGGUGGUAAUGCAAUGGUAAUUGAAACUGGAAAGCGAGACUGAAAUAACGGUAAUGUCUUGGUAAGACGGCUUAGCCAAUCGGGCCGUGAUCGGACUCCGCUCAAAGAAGCAACGCUAAUGUAGAUGAUGAUGUAAUGAUGUGGAAUUCCCCAAUCUAAAAUUUUAGAAAAUUAUGUGAAAACUAUGUGAACCUCUUAUAUUGUUGGUGUGGUGCUUAUUUGAAGCUUUGUUUUCCUUAUGAUUUCUCUUACACUUGUAUGAUUGUUCUUUCUAAUUGGAUGGUGUUUAAUUAUACAAACUAGUGCUAUUCGAUGGCAUUAACGUCCCUUUUAUCGGGGGCGAUACGUCUUUAAAUGGAUGUAGGUGUUUUAUAACAGGCACCGUUGGUCGCAGCUAGUGUCAUAUCAUCCUUUCAGCUGGCAUGGUGAGUCCCCACUUCGUUUUGGGGUCCUAUUUCAUUUGUAUAUCAUGUACUUUGUAUUUGAGGUAUAGCCGGAACCUUGUUGUCGGUAUUUUCAUAUUAUGUUUCAGUUGUAUUUAGAGGCUCCGUAGACAGGUAGUGGGUAGUGUUGGGUAUCGAAAUUAAAGUAGAAAUAUUGAUGUUUCGCAAUGAUGUAUAAAACUUGUAAUAUCUUCAAAAUUGUGAAUGAAGAUGUUAAUGGAAAUGAAAUGGAAUUGUUAGUGACAUGUUUAUAGAAUUUGAUUAAUGGUGUACAUUUCCUCUUUAUUCAAAAACGAAUUUGGGUAGUAUGAAACCUAACAGGCUUAUUAAGUAAAUAAAAAAUCCAAAAAUAUUUUCUUCAUUUUUAGGAUAACUUCUCCACUUGUACUUCCAUGGGUUUCUUGUUUGGUUCUUUACCAUGAUCGUAAUAUUUUGAACCCCACACCUUUUAGAGUAGAUUUUUAUUAUUUCUUUAUUUUAGAUCUUUGAAAAGUUACUUGUGGUUGGCAAAAUUGGCUAUGCCUGACUGGUGGAAUGCAUGAUCCUUCCUGUGUAAGUCAUAGAGACCAUUGGUGUUUGAGGUCUAAAUUAUGUGCCUAUCCGAGAUACUAUAUGGGGUGAGACAAAUGUUUGCUUAGUGAUUGUACAUGAAAAGGUCUAGAACUUAGCUUGGUUGUAACUUAAGGCGAACUCUUAGGUAACAAUUGAGGUUGGAGAUGACUGUAGGACUUUUUUGAUAGCUUCUUGUUUCUUCGACUACUUUGACCCCUCCUAGGAACUGAUAAUUAUCCCUAGUCAACCCAGUUGAGCCUAAUUCCCUCUUUCUUUGGGUACCAUAGUACAACCUCAACCUGUAGCCAUUCCUAAGCACUUGAGUGCCUUGUAUUAAUGCUAAAAGAUGAAGAGACAUAAGUGUGGGGAUGGAGGCUGGUGGAACCAAGGUUAAGAAAAAAAAAGGUGCAUCAUCAUGAAUUAUAGUGAGAUACGAGAGCGGGGAUUAUGAAAAAGAAAAAAUUUGCUCAUGUUGAGUAAGGAAAUAAUAGUGAAUGUUCCCCUGUUGAUGUAAAAUACUUGUAUACUAUGCUUAAACAAUUGAGACUUGUGUGUGCUUUUGAUUGGGGAAUUCGUGGACAAUUGUCAAUAAAAAGGAGUAGGACAAGCAUGAAUUUGUUGUAAUGAAAGUGCUCAGUGAGGUGUAGAUACUCUUAUGUAGAUUAUAUCCGACCUAUCCCAUAGCCUACACUACAACCCAAUACAUAGUACUACAUGAUCUAGAUGAGGGUGUUCCUACCGUAACGGAGAAGUAUAUGAUAGCCACGCUUAUGGUACUUUAGAAAGCAUGAGUCACUUCUUUGUGAGGGUGAGUGAUUGUUGCAUACUUCCAGAGGCUGUUAAGUUCAAUUGGUGUGUGAAUGGGCUUUGUCUUUUUUCUUGUAAGGUGUAUCGAGAGUUUGGUGCCAAUUUGAUCACAUCACUAGUGGAAUGUUAUGAUCAGGGUUGGGGUUGAAUGUGACCCCAAGGUGGUAUCAAGUUGAUUUAGUCGGCCACUUGCCUGAGGUGGUUGCAGUAUUAGGAGCAUUUUCAUUUUAGAUUUUCUUGAGGCGAGCAAAAGCUAAGUGUGAAGGUGUUUGAUAAGCUUAAAGUUACUUAUUAUUUAUGCCCACUUUGUGUCUAUGUUUUGGCUGAUUCGAUAGAGAUUUGGUCGUGUUUGAGUCUAAUAUGUUAUUUUUCAGUGCACGAGAUGCAGAAGGGAUCAAUGGACGAAUAAUGCACUUAGUGGGAGGAAAACGAGUUGAGCAGUAGGAAAACUCAGGUGCACGAUCGUGCAUGAGACACCCCAGUGCACUUGAGCGCGCAAGUGACAUAGUGUACUACUGCUAGAGGUGCGACCAUGAGCACGGUCAUACCUACAAGUUCGUGGCCGCACACAUCCGCUUCCCGGAACUUCACUCAUGCCUAUUUUUGUAAUUCGAAGGCGACUCUUUUUGACCUAUAUGAAGCCUAGCUUGUCUCAAUACAAGGUAUCUCCUAUUUGGAGCAACUUUUGGAGAGAAAAAGGUAAGAAAACAACGAAGACUUGAAAUACUUAAUCCAAUUCAUUCAAUGUGGAAGUUUGUUUGAUUUUGGGGUUUAUAAUAUCUUCUUGUUCUUCUAAUACUCUUGUGAUAAACAAUUUCUCCACCAUGGAGUAAUCUUUCUUAGAUUUAUUGACGUAUAUUAUGACUGGACUAUUAUUUUGGGUUUUACUUUCUGUUAGUUGCCCGAAUUUGUUGAGUGAGUUAUUAAUUGAAUUGCAAGAUUAACUGUGGUUUUACUUUGCAAUUCGCAUUGUAUUAUCUUGUUUGGGUUGGUUUUAUGCCUCUCUUAGGUAGAGCUUAGAGAGUUAUCAAUUGACCAAAUUUGGAAGAACAAUCGAGAUACGUUCUUUGAUUAUUUUCUUUGCAUAUAUUCAUAGGACCUAUUAUUAGGUUGGUUAACGAAACUUUCAUUCAUUCGGAAGAAGAAUUUGAAUCCUUAAGAUAGCCUAAUCAUCUGUUAAAAUCGAAGGAGUCAACAAAAAUUAAGAGUGAACGUCGCACAGAAUGACCCAAUAAAAUAGUUGAUCACAUAUCUUGUCACAACCCUUACUUUUCAUCUUGAAUUUCAAUUGUUGCUGCUUAGUUAUUAAAUUUCCAUCAUUUUCUCACAAUGGAUAGUCUUAGUUUUUAUUAUUAGUUGAUAAUGACAUAAAUCAAAGAUUUAUUUUCCUGGAUAGUGUUAAGCUGAAGAUUUAUUAGAAUAUUAUUUAAAUUAAUUUAUGUGGAGACAGUUUAAUACUAUAUACUAUCUUUGACUAAAGGACCUAAGUUUUGUACAUCAAUUUUGUGCUCGCCAAAAAGUUAUCUUUUUUUACUUCUCCGAAACUGGUUCUGCUUCCUCCAACUUGUUAUGUUCCAUUGUAGAUCAAAUGAAUUAAUUUCAAUGUCCUUAAAUACUUUCCUCGUCUAAUUGCAUGUCUUUCCUAAAACCUUAUUUACAAGUAAUUCAUCAAAUGUGAAAUAUAUAAAAGUAAUUUGGAGAAAGCAAGAAAUAGCGAUUGGAAUCUAUCAUAGAAUCCUUUCUCCUUAAUUUCCAAAACAGCCCUAUUUCUAAAUUCGUCGUGUUUAUCCUUUUCUGUUUUCUUCUUUUGACAUAUAUCCAAUUUUUUUGACCUCCUUUUUUCUUAGUCUUUUAUUUAAAAUUAAAUAUCUAGAUAUUUUAUUUUUUGUUCCUUAGAGAAGGGGUUAUUGAAAUUGUUUCGAAAUUGCAGAGAGUCCACCUAGUAGACCCAAAGUCCACUCAUUUUGGAGGCACACAUUUGUCCUUCACAAAGCUUACCUGUACGAGCAUCCAAACUAUUUCACAAAACCAAUAAAAUAACGCCACGUGUAGUGGUAUAUAAUUUCUUUGAGCUGGACUGAUCACCCGCAGGUGAGAAAAGAAAUUGGGUCAGAUCUGGUAAUAAGAGAAAUAUAAGGGGCCUAUAAGAGCAAAACAAAUCCGCGUUGCAUUUGAAUCACACCAAAUUUAUGGAUCAGAACCCUCGCUUUUUAUAGUUUCUCUCUCUCGAAACCCAAACCCCUCUUUCUCUCUCUAAUAUUUGGCCUUGCUUUUGGGUGGCGGCUGAAACUCUCACUCCUCACACCCGUUGUCUCCCUCUAGGGUUUUACAAAUCUCUCCUCCAUUUUUGAAGAUCUAUCUUGUCUUAUGGCAGCUGUUGCUCCUCCUGCUGAUCGUAUCCUUAUAUAUUUUACUUAUAUGGGUAUUUUUUGUUUUUUUUUCUUGUUCAAAUCGACCCCCCAAGUUUUGAGUUUUACUUGUUUUAUGAAGAUAUACACUAGAUAUAGGUAUCUCUAUGUUUAUGGGUAGAAUUUUUAUGUGAGUCUAUUGGGAUUCGUUAGAUCCGGGCUAUUGUGAUAUGCGUUGCUGUUAUCUGGUUGAUUUUUUAUUUGUUUUGGUUUUGUUUGGUGAGUGAUUUAUGUGUUUUAGUCUGUUGAGAGCCUUGGCUAAUAAUCUGUGUUUUUCUAUUUUUUAAAAUUGGUUUAUACGUGCGUUUAUGGUGUAUAUAGGCUGUAUGCCAUUUUUUUAAAUAAAAAAUGUUUUGCAGCUGGUAUACGUUCGAAAAUUUUGUAGCUGAUGUGGUGAUAUAUAACUCGGUGUUUUCUAUUAGCAACAGUGGAAAUUUGGUUUGGUUUUGGUUUUAAAUUUCUUUGCUAAAUUCUUUAAUUAUUUGGAAUUGCGGAUUUAAAGAGUUUAUGGGCUAAUUUUAGUAAAUUUACAUAGUUCCAAACGAUGUGUGUUGUUCAGUACAAAUUGAUUGAUAUGUUGGAAUUGUUCUUGGCCUAGUUUGUUGCUAUGUUUUUGGGCUAAUUGUGUGAAGUGCUAUUCCUUUACUUUUACUGCUAUAGAAGCUACGGAUUUGCUGCAGAAGUUGUCAUUGGAUUCUCAAAAUAAGACACUUGAAAUUGCAGAGCCAAAAAAGAAGGUACCCUUUUAGUUGUUUUUUUUCAAAAUUCUUUUAUUUUGGUCAAUUGGUCUAAAGUUCUUAAUUUGAAAUUCUGAUCCUUUUUCAGCCUGUGGACUCCAAAGACCUGGGAAAUGGUCAGAUCCAGUCAGUGGAUCGAUCAGUUACCCCUCUAUUGCCUGACUUCAUGGAUCCAACUUUGUGCUAUGUUCCUAAUGGCUAUCCCUCAUACUAUUAUGGUAUUGUUAAUAUCGUCUGAAUUAAAUUUAUGGCUUCACUUUGUGUCAGAACAGUCUAUAUGUACCUCUGUUAGGAUUUUAUUCAAAACAAAAAUAUACAUCUGUUAGGAUAAUGAUGUUUUAUUUCUUCACAAUUUAGCACCUCUCUUGGUUCAUAUUACUGACAUUCUUUUCUAUUCUUCUAUAGGGUAUGAUGGUUCUGGUAAUGAAUGGGAGGACUAUACAAGAUAUGUGAACCCAGAGGGAGUUGAGAUGACUGUAAGUUAUUCUGCCUGCGAUGCUAGCUACAGCACUUGAUGUCUUAAUGUAUUUGCUGGAUUCAAUCUUUGGUGUCACGUUGCUUUUGUUUAUUAUUUAUGUAUUUUGGUUUUGAUAUGAUGAAAACGCAGGGAGCUUAUGGGGACAACGGGUCAUUUAUGUAUCAGCAUGGCUAUGGUUAUGCACCCUAUAGUCCAUAUUCACCUGCUACUUCCCCUGUCCCGACUGUGGGGCAUGACGGCCAGCUUUAUGGAGCACAACACUACCACUAUCCAUAUUUCCAGCCCCUCCCUCCAACCAGUACUCCAUACACUACUCCAGUUGCUCCGGCCAAAGGUGAGAUCGCCACCUCUGCUGCUGCUGACCAAGCACCAUUGUCUGUGGAUUCUGCUAAUGGAAAUUCCAAAGGCAUUGCAAAUGGUGGUGUAAAGGGAAAUACUGCGUCUACGCCUGUGAGGCCUGCAUUCCAGCAUUCAUCCUUAAAUGCUAAUGGCUCUUUUGGACGAGGUGGUGCCUUACCUGGAGGGGUUGCUUCGGGCUAUCAGGAUCCUAGAUUUGGUUUUGAUGGUGUAAGGUCUCCCAUUCCAUGGUUAGAUGGGUCAAUGUUUACUGAUGGGCAAGCCAGGCCAGUGGCGAGCAAUCCUAUUACGCCUUCAUUUUCAAAUGGCGGUGCUGUUCCAUCAUCAAAAAAUCAGAACGUUCAUCCACAUCUAAUGGUAUGUUCUAUUCUACAAUAUUGAUCUGUUAUUGCACUUCUCAUUACAGUCUCCUUCGUGAUAGGCCAGUGGUGAGCAAUCCUAUUACGCCUUCAUUUUCAAAUGGCGGUGCUGUUCCAUCAUCAAAAAAUCAGAACGUCCAUCCACAUCUAAUGGUAUGUUGUAUUCUAAAAUAUUGAUCUGUUAUUGCACUUCUCAUUAGUCUCCUUCGUGAGACUUAGAAGCUCCGUGUUUGUACUGUAUGGUCAGUUCAUUUUCUUGUUGGAACUGACACUACUGUUUCAUUGUCAGGGCUUGCACCACCCUAGGCCCUCGUCUGGCAUGAAUACAGCUAAUGGGUAUAUGAAUACAUUGUAUCCCAAUAAAUUUGGGAACACAUUCAGCUCUGGCAUGGGCUUUGGAUCUAACAGGUAUGACUCUCGCGCUACAGGUCGUGGGUGGACGCCGGUUGACAACAGGUUUAAACCCAGGGGUAGAGGAAAUAGUUUCUAUGGCUAUGGUAACGAGAACAUGGAUGGUUUAAAUGAGCUCAACAGGGGACCAAGAGGUAAAGGUUCCAAGAACCAGAAGGGUUUUACACCAGUUGCUUUGGCAGUCAAGGGGCAGAACAUCCCCCUAACUGUAACCAAUGAUGCCGAUAAAGAUAAACAGAGCCUGAUUCCUGACAAAGAACAGUACAACCAUCCAGAUUUUCCAGUGACAUAUACUGAUGCCAAGUUUUUUAUCAUCAAGUCUUACAGCGAAGACGAUGUGCAUAAUGAUGCCGAGAAAGAUAAACAGAGCCUGAUUCCUGACAAAGAACAGUACAACCAUCCAGAUUUUCCAGUGACAUAUACUGAUGCGAAGUUUUAUAUCAUCAAGUCUUACAGUGAAGAUGAUGUGCACAAAAGCAUCAAAUAUAAUGUUUGGGCUAGUACACC
rnacentral:lncRNA from 1 species